UACAGAGGGUGCAAGCGUUAAUCGGAAUUACUGGGCGUAAAGCGCGCGUAGGUGGUUCGUUAAGUUGGAUGUGAAAUCCCCGGGCUCAACCUGGGAACUGCAUUCAAAACUGACGAGCUAGAGUAUGGUAGAGGGUGGUGGAAUUUCCUGUGUAGCGGUGAAAUGCGUAGAUAUAGGAAGGAACACCAGUGGCGAAGGCGACCACCUGGACUGAUACUGACACUGAGGUGCGAAAGCGUGGGGAGCAAACAGGAUUAGAUACCCGCGUA
rnacentral:rRNA from 1 species